rnacentral:rRNA from 5 species
GACCUCAGAUCAGGCGAGAUUACCCGCUGAAUUUAAGCAUAUUAAUAAGCGGAGGAAAAGAAAACUAACA